CAGCAGCCACGGGAAUACGUAGGUGGCAAGCGUUAUCCGGAAUUAUUGGGCGUAAAGCGCGCGUAGGCGGUUUUUUAAGUCUGAUGUGAAAGCCCACGGCUCAACCGUGGAGGGUCAUUGGAAACUGGAAAACUUGAGUGCAGAAGAGGAAAGUGGAAUUCCAUGUGUAGCGGUGAAAUGCGCAGAGAUAUGGAGGAACACCAGUGGCGAAGGCGACUUUCUGGUCUGUAACUGACGCUGAUGUGCGAAAGCGUGGGGAUCAAACAGGAUUAGAUACCCUGGUAGUCCCUGUCUCUUAUAC
rnacentral:rRNA from 1 species